CGGGACGGGUGAGUAACGCGUGGGCAACCUGCCUUACACAGGGGGAUAACACUUAGAAAUAGGUGCUAAAACCGCAUAAGCGCACAGCUUCGCAUGAAGCGGUGUGAAAAACUCCGGUGGUGUAAGAUGGACCCGCGUCUGAUCAGCUUGUUGGCGGGGUAACGGCCCACCAAGGCGACGAUCAGUAGCCGGCCUGAGAGGGCGGACGGCCACAUUGGGACUGAGACACGGCCCAGACUCCUACGGGAGGCAGCAG
rnacentral:rRNA from 1 species